rnacentral:rRNA from 1 species
AGCGUAGACGGUAUGGCAAGUCUGAUGUGGAAGGCCAGGGCUCAACCCUGGGACUGCAUUGGAAACUGUCGAACUAGAGUGUCGGAGAGGCAAGUGGAAUUCCUAGUGUAGCGGUGAAAUGCGUAGAUAUUAGGAGGAACACCAGUGGCGAAGGCGGCUUGCUGGACGAUGACUGACGUUGAGGCUGAAAGCUGGGGGAGCAAACA